rnacentral:rRNA from 1 species
GUGGGGAAUAUUGGACAAUGGGGGGAACCCUGAUCCAGCCAUGCCGCGUGUGUGAAGAAGGCCUUUUGGUUGUAAAGCACUUUAAGCGAGGAGGAGGCUACCGAGAUUAAUACUCUUGGAUAGUGGACGUUACUCGCAGAAUAAGCACCGGCUAACUCUGUGCCAGCAGCCGCGGUAAUACAGAGGGUGCAAGCGUUAAUCGGAUUUACUGGGCGUAAAGCGCGCGUAGGUGGCCAAUUAAGUCAAAUGUGAAAUCCCCGAGCUUAACUUGGGAAUUGCAUUGGAUACUGGUUGGCUAGAGUAUGGGAGAGGAUGGUAGAAUUCCAGGAGUAGCGGUGAAAUGCGUAGAGAUCUGGAGGAAUACCGAUGGCGAAGGCAGCCAUCUGGCCUAAUACUGACACUGAGGUGCGAAAGCAUGGGGAGCAAACAGGAUUAGAUACCCGAGUAGUCC